rnacentral:rRNA from 1 species
GUCUUUUUGAUAAUAAUUUAAAGUCUGGCCUGCCCAAUGAUAAUUUAAAUGGCCGCGGUAUUUUGACCGUGCAAAGGUAGCAUAAUCAUUAGUUUUUUAAUUGAAAGCUUGUAUGAAAGGUUGAACGAGAAAAUUACUGUCUCAAUUUUAUUUAAUAAGAAUUUUAUUUUUAAGUUAAAAAGCUUAAAUAAUUUUAAAAGACGAGAAGACCCUAUAGAGUUUUAUAUUUUUAAUAAUAAAUUUUUAAAUUAUUUAUUUAAUUAUUUAGAAUAUUUUAUUGGGGUGAUAAAUAAAUUUAAUAAACUUUAUUUUUUUUAAAACAUUUAUUUAUGUUAAUAAUGAUCCAAAUUUUUUGAUUAUAAGAUUAAAUUACCUUAGGGAUAACAGCGUAAUUUUUUUUGAGAGUUCAUAUCGAAAAGAAAGAUUGCGACCUCGAUGUUGGAUUAAAAUUUAUUUUUGGUGUAGAAGCUAAAAAAUUAAGUCUGUUCGAUUUUUAAAAUUUUACAUGAUCUGAGUUUAAACCGGUGUGAGCCAGGUUGGUUUCUAUCUUUAAAUAAUAGAAAAUAUUUUAGUACGAAAGGACCAAAUAUUUAUAAAAUUUAUUUUGUUAUUGAAUAUUAUUGUUAUUUUGGCAGAUUAGUGCAUUAAAUUUAGAAUUUAAUUAUGUAAUUUAUUACAAAUAAUACUUGUUUUAUAAGGAUUUAAUUUUAAUAUUUAUUAGAAGUUUAUUAUUAGUAAUUUGUAUUUUAAUU